GGUUGUGGCUCAGAGGUAGAGCACUUGCCUACCAUGCAUGAGGCAUGGAGUUCAAUCCUCAACACCA
rnacentral:tRNA from 1 species